rnacentral:rRNA from 1 species
CUUACCAUGCAAGUCGAACGGUGAAGCAGAGCUUGCUCUGUGGAUCAGUGGCGAACGGGUGAGUAACACGUGAGCAACCUGCCCCUGACUCUGGGAUAAGCGCUGGAAACGGCGUCUAAUACUGGAUAUGAGCUGCGACCGCAUGGUCAGCAGUUGGAAAGAUUUUUCGGUCUGGGAUGGGCUCACGGCCUAUCAGCUUGUUGGUGAGGUAAUGGCUCACCAAGGCGUCGACGGGUAGCCGGCCUGAGAGGGUGACCGGCCACACUGGGACUGAGACACGGCCCAGACUCCUACGGGAGGCAGGCAGUGGGGAAUAUUGCACAAUGGGCGAAAGCCUGAUGCAGCAACGCCCGCGUGAGGGAUGACGGCCUUCGGGUUGUAAACCUCUUUUAGCAGGGAAGAAGCGAAAGUGACGGUACCUGCAGAAAAAGCGCCGGCUAACUACGUGCCAGCAGCCGCGGUAAUACGUAGGGCGCAAGCGUUAUCCGGAAUUAUUGGGCGUAAAGAGCUCGUAGGCGGUUUGUCGCGUCUGCUGUGAAAUCCCGAGGCUCAACCUCGGGUCUGCAGUGGGUACGGGCAGACUAGAGUGCGGUAGGGGAGAUUGGAAUUCCUGGUGUAGCGGUGGAAUGCGCAGAUAUCAGGAGGAACACCGAUGGCGAAGGCAGAUCUCUGGGCCGUUACUGACGCUGAGGAGCGAAAGGGUGGGGAGCAAACAGGCUUAGAUACCCUGGUAGUCCACCCCGUAAACGUUGGGAACUAGUUGUGGGGUCCAUUCCACGGAUUCCGUGACGCAGCUAACGCAUUAAGUUCCCCGCCUGGGGAGUACGGCCGCAAGGCUAAAACUCAAAGGAAUUGACGGGGACCCGCACAAGCGGCGGAGCAUGCGGAUUAAUUCGAUGCAACGCGAAGAACCUUACCAAGGCUUGACAUAUACGAGAACGGGCUCAGAAAUGGUCAACUCUUUGGACACUCGUAAACAGGUGGUGCAUGGUUGUCGUCAGCUCGUGUCGUGAGAUGUUGGGUUAAGUCCCGCAACGAGCGCAACCCUCGUUCUAUGUUGCCAGCACGUAAUGGUGGGAACUCAUGGGAUACUGCCGGGGUCAACUCGGAGGAAGGUGGGGAUGACGUCAAAUCAUCAUGCCCCUUAUGUCUUGGGCUUCACGCAUGCUACAAUGGCCGGUACAAAGGGCUGCAAUACCGUGAGGUGGAGCGAAUCCCAAAAAGCCGGUCCCAGUUCGGAUUGAGGUCUGCAACUCGACCUCAUGAAGUCGGAGUCGCUAGUAAUCGCAGAUCAGCAACGCUGCGGUGAAUACGUUCCCGGGUCUUGUACACACCGCCCGUCAAGUCAUGAAAGUCGGUAACACCUGAAGCCGGUGGCCCAACCCUUGUGGAGGGAGCCGUCGAAAGGG